rnacentral:rRNA from 1 species
ACGUCAAGUCAUCAUGGCCCUUAUGUCCAGGGCUACACACGUGCUACAAUGGGGGGCACAGAGGGAAGCCAAAUCGCGAGAUGGAGCGGAUCCCGAAAGCCCCUCCCAGUUCGGAUAGGAGUCUGCAACCCGACUCCUUGAAGCCGGAAUCGCUAGUAAUCGCGGAUCAGCAUGCCGCGGUGAAUACGUUCCCGGGCCUU